rnacentral:rRNA from 1 species
GGGAGGCAGCAGUGGGGAAUAUUGCACAAUGGGCGCAAGCCUGAUGCAGCGACGCCGCGUGAGGGAUGACGGCCUUCGGGUUGUAAACCUCUUUCGCCAGGGACGAAGCGCAAGUGACGGUACCUGGAGAAGAAGGACCGGCCAACUACGUGCCAGCAGCCGCGGUAAUACGUAGGGUCCGAGCGUUGUCCGGAAUUACUGGGCGUAAAGAGCUCGUAGGUGGUUUGUCGCGUUGUUCGUGAAAACUCACAGCUUAACUGUGGGCGUGCGGGCGAUACGGGCAGACUGGAGUACUGCAGGGGAGACUGGAAUUCCUGGUGUAGCGGUGGAAUGCGCAGAUAUCAGGAGGAACACCGGUGGCGAAGGCGGGUCUCUGGGCAGUAACUGACGCUGAGGAGCGAAAGCGUGGGGAGCGAACAGGAUUAGAUACCCUGGUAGUCCACGCCGUAAACGGUGGGUACUAGGUGUGGGUUUCCUUCCUUGGGAUCCGUGCCGUAGCUAACGCAUUAAGUACCCCGCCU